rnacentral:rRNA from 1 species
ACGGGAGGCAGCAGUGAGGAAUAUUGGUCAAUGGGCGCGAGCCUGAACCAGCCAAGUAGCGUGAGGGAUGGCUGCCCUAUGGGUUGUAAACCUCUUUUGUUCGGGAAUAAAGUGCGGGACGUGUCCCGCUUUGCAUGUACCGUUCGAAUAAGCAUCGGCUAAUUCCGUGCCAGCAGCCGCGGUAAUACGGAAGAUGCGAGCGUUAUCCGGAUUUAUUGGGUUUAAAGGGAGCGUAGGCGGCCUUUUAAGUCAGCGGUAAAAUGUCAGCGCCCAGCGCUGGCCUGCCGUUGAUACUGUUAGGCUUGAAUACACACAAGGAAGGUAGAAUUCGUCGUGUAGCGGUGAAAUGCUUAGAUAUGACGAAGAACUCCGAUUGCGAAGGCAGCCUUCUGGAGUGCGAUUGACGCUGAGGCUCGAAAGCGCGGGUAUCAAACAGGAUUAGAUACCCUGGUA